rnacentral:rRNA from 1 species
UACGUAGGGUCCGAGCGUUGUCCGGAAUUAUUGGGCGUAAAGGGCUCGUAGGCGGUUCGUCACGUCGGGAGUGAAAACUCGGAGCUUAACUCCGAGCCUGCUUCCGAUACGGGCAGACUAGAGGUAGGCAGGGGAGAGCGGAACUCCUGGUGUAGCGGUGGAAUGCGCAGAUAUCAGGAAGAACACCGGUGGCGAAGGCGGCUCUCUGGGCCUUACCUGACGCUGAGGAGCGAAAGCCGUGGGUAGCGAACAGG